GCUGCCGUAGCUCAGUGGUAGAGCACCUCAUUGGUAAUGAGGAGGUCCACAGUUCGAUCCUGUGUGGCAGCACCA
rnacentral:tRNA from 1 species